UCCCUUUCAGGAUUGCACCUGGAGAGUUUCCAGUACUCUACCAAUCUCGGCCAUGGGAGGGAGAGUUAAGCAGAGGCCUUCCCGUUCCAUUCUUAGCUUGGGCAGUGGCUAGUGAAUAGAAGGCAAUCUGCUACAAGU